UUUACACCGGCAAAAGUUAAGGCCUUAUUGGUUUCCUUCCUCUCCAUAAUUUCUAAAAUUUAACUAUAAAGUAUACACACUAUUUCUAACACUUAAAUACCUAGGUAAAAGCAGAUAUGCUUUUCCUUUUUAAAAUACUAAGCAGGUAAAUAUGAAAGUAAUUUUGGAGGUGGAAACAUGAGUGCCUUUAAGAAAUCUUGUUAAAUUCUUGUCAGUUCCGUUACAGGAGUGCUUCUAUCAGUCAAGGUAAUGACGGGAAUUCACAUCAUCGAGUCUAUUUAAAAGCACAUACUCUCAGGAGUGUGCAGCAUUUGAAACAUUCACAUUUU